UAAAUGUACUGACUGACAUUUUUUCUGCUCUUUCCUGUUUACAGUCUGUGAUGGGAGUGCUACUUUGUGAAGGAAUGACACAAUUCAGGAGUAAGACCUCAUAGGUCCUGGUCAGUCAACCAAACUAUUUAAGGUUAUGGUUGAUGAAUUGAUUGAAAUAAAUGGAUUCUGUCUGAUGACCGCAAGCCGAAAGAGAAAUGCAACAUGAUUGGUCCAUGGGAGGUCUUCACAAGCGUCGGGGAGUAGAAGAGCGGUGCGAUAACCAGCAGCACCAGCAGCAGGACAAGGGCGCUGACCAGCCCAGAUAUCUGCGUCUGACACCCUGUUGACUCCUUGACGAGGGUCUUAGUCAGCGCAGCGCUGGUGGUGAAGCAGUGGAAGAACGACGGCAGGAUGUUGCAGAAGCCAAUGGCGUACAACUCCUGGUUGGCGUCCACUGUGUAGCCGUGCUUCUUGGCAAA